rnacentral:lncRNA from 1 species
UGUGUUUAGGGUUUUAGUAUUGUUAAUUGUGUUCCUCUUCUUGUAUUACCUUGAUGCAAGAUUAAGGACUGUGUGUUACUGUGUUGUAAUAUCUCUGGAGCUUAUAAGCAAGGAGAUAGUGUGUAUGAACCAUUCCUAAGCUUUGAAGUACAGAAUUGGUGGAUGUUUUAAGAAGUGUGUCUUCAUCUGUAAACUGUAACGUGUACGAUCACAGUGGCUGUGAUUAAGAGGAGUUGAGCGGAGGUUCUCAUACCUAGGUGUGACUUAGGUAGAAUAUAGCACGGGUGGUGAUUAGGUGAGAAGUCAUA